AACAUGGUCUUUUGAUUAUAAUUUAAGAUCGAAUCUGCUCCAUGAAUAAUUAAAUAGCCGCAGUAAUUUGACUGUGCAAAGGUAGCAUAAUAACUAGUUUUUUAAUUGAAAGCUUGAAUGAAUGAUUUGACAAGGAAAUGACUGUCUCUUUAUUAAUAUAAAUGAAUUUAACUUUUGAGUGAGAAGGCUUAAAUAAUCAUAAAAGACGAGAAGACCCUAUAGAGUUUUAUUUUUCUAAAAUGAGAAGGGAUAACAAAUUUAAUAUGAAAAAUUUGGUUGGGGUGAUCGAAAGAUUUAAUUAACUCUUUUAUUUUUUAUUAUUGAUUAAUAAAUUAUAAUUAUUUUAUUUAAAUAUUAAAUUAAAUUACCUUAGGGAUAACAGCGUUAUAUUUCUUUAAAGUUCAUAUUAAAAGAAUAUUUUGCGACCUCGAUGUUGGAUUAAAAUUGAUUUUAGGUGCAGAAGCUUAAAAACUGAGUCUGUUCGACUUUUAAAAUUUUACAUGAUCUG
rnacentral:rRNA from 1 species